UAUGAAUACUGAUGCAAGUAUCCUCAACCACUGAUUCAAAGAUAAAAUAACUGAAAUUGUACUGGCCAGGCACAGCGGCACACGUCCCAGGCCAGCUUGGCUAACUUAGUUAGAGCCUGUCUCAAAAUAAAAAUAAAAAGAACCCCUGAAUUCAAUCCCAAUACUGCUGCUGCUGCUGCUGCUGAUGAUGAUGUUGGGGCUAUCGCUCAGUACUCCAUAAGCUCACUCUCCAGGUACUGCCGAACAAAAAAAAAGAAAAAAGAAAAAGCAAACACCACAAAUCAAUACACUAUAUACCAGUACAAACACAGCCCAGGCACCAUCUCCUGGUUUUGAGUGAAACGUCAUUUGAAAAGCCCUUUAUCUAGCUCACAAUGUAGUAUAAAGACACCAAGACAACCGGUCCCAGCAUGCCGUAGGUGAGGGGUGGGGCUAAACCAGGGGACUUCUCAGGGGACCAGUUGAAGGAGACCUUAAGAGGAGGCUAAGCGGUGGCCCCUACGUAGAAAGGGCAAAUAAAGGGCCCCUAUGCAGAAAUCUAAUCGUCCAUUUAACACUGCCUGAACCAGAUGAUGCCUGGACAAAUGGAGUAUGAUAUACAGCCCAGAACAAUACCCUCACAAAUAAGAUAAGAACUAUCUAAUUGCCAGUGAUACAAUCAAGUUCACCUCAAAUCAUUCAACAGAGAAACAUCUCACUUCGAUGAAUAGCAAUGAAAUCAUCCAACAGAAGCUCAAAUCCAAAAAGGUCCUUUUCAAUACCUUAUUACUGAUGCUCCCCAGUUACUGAUGGGAUGUGGACCACUGAAGACUUUCCCACACUGCUUAUACUCAGUAAGAUGCUUUCCAGUGUGAGCCUGUUUAAGGAAACUAGAGGCUUUUAUACAUUCUUUACAUGAAGCCAAGUUAAUGAAUGUUUCCUGCAUCACAUCUCUGUAGAGCUCCUUCUGGGAAAGGUCCAGCAAAGCCCACUCCUCCUGGGUGAAAUUCACAGCCACAUCCUCAAAGGCCACUGAGUCCUAAAACAUCACACAUAUAUACAAGUAGAGGAAGAUAUAAUACCUGAAUAGAAGGAAAUUAUUCCUACAUUUUUAUUGUGAUCACUUCAAAUCUUACCGCAGUCCAAUGACAGGUACACAGCAUCUCAGAGAAUUCUAUACAACUUGAACAAAUACUUCUAUUUGGAGAUGAGCAACUACUUCUCAGAAAAAUUUUCAGCUCCUGCAUCAUUAUAUACCAUAUCACUAAGCAUUCAAAAAAACAGAGGUAGGGAGUUACAGAGAAGGUAGAGGACAAGCACGAGGAAGAAGGCAUAGGAGCUCUGCAGGAUCUCUGUACUCACAAGCUUCAGGACUGCUUCCUUCCAAAGUGCAGCACAUAUAAGACUGAUAUUAAGGUACCAGAAGGCCAGGGACGUAGCUUAGGGGUACAAGCGCCUGCCUGGCAAGCACAAGGUUCGGAGUUCGAUUCCCGGUACCCCAAAUAAAUAAAUAAAUGAAUA